UGACAUCAAAAAGCAGGUCUUACGUUUUUGUUAUACAUCCGAGGGCAUGUAUAAUAAACCAUUUUAACACUUUAAAUGCUUUAACACUUUAAAAACUUUAACGUUUUGAUGUCUACAUUGACGUAAUUACGGUGAGAAACACCAAGCACGAGGAGACAUUAUGGAUUGUGGACGUUUUGAGGUAUCGUGAACCACAAGGUGGCACUGUUGCCUUAGAAAUCAGUAUGAAAUCCACAGGUGCGUUUGGACUUCGUCUUGGAACAGAUGCAUCAGACAGUACUUAUUCGAGGACAGGAACCCCUGCUGUCUAUCCAGAGAUGCUGCAUACAAUACCACUGUGCCUACUGGUGUUUAACCAUUCACACGAGC